AUGUAAAAAAGCAAUAAAGCAAUAAUUUUUAGUUAUUUAGCAUAUUUUGUGUUCAUAAUGAUUUCAGGAUAUUACUUAUUUGUGUAGAGAAAUAUAUGUACACAUAUAUCUCAGCUGAAACACCCUGUGUUAUGUUGUCUUUGUUAGUUCCGUUACAUAUUCACUUCCCUCUACUGUUUUCAUACAAUUUUCAAGUGAAUUUAAGCAAUUUUGUUGCAUUGUAUAAAUAUUUGUUGAUAAUAAUAGGAGUUUAAGAGGUUUUGGGUAAACUGUUGAGAUUAAGAAAACUCUGUAGUACAAUAAAGAGGAAGGAUACCUGCGAAUAAAGAUUAAUCAAUUUCUACAAAAUGUCAUAGUCAGAUGUAUUGUAUAAGAUAGUACACAAAUUGAAGAAAUUGCUGGAGAAAAAUCUACUAAAUUUGUUUAUGCAUUACUGACAGAGGGGUACGGUUUUUAUAUCCAGGCAUCAACAAAAAAGCCAUUCGAUAACUACUAAAACUAAACUAUUAAUUUGAAAUGUGAACUCCUUCUAAAAAGAAGAGUGAAAACUUGCAUAUUCUCCAAAUUAACCCUAACCCAUAAGGCAAAGGCAUUGCGACUUGUCUAGAAAGACAAGUUCAAUUAAGAAAAUAUUGAGCCUUAAAAAUUUGUUCUCCUAUUAUAUAACUAUAAGUUCUAGUAUUAUAAUAGGUUGUCAAAAAAGUCUUGCGGUAUUUUCGCUUGUUGGCGCUGAAAGCGCGUAGUUCCAGUUUUAUUCGUCGCAUACGUCGUCAUACUAUACCUUUUUGAAAAGCUCAUUUCACGCGCUAACACGUAUUUGAUUGAUUGUCGUUUCUUUUAAGUCGUUCGUGAGUUAUAGCGUCGCAAACAUGGAGCAAAAUAAAGAGAAAAUACGGUAUAUUUUACAGUACUACUACGAUAAAGGCAAAAAUGCAUCUCAAGCCGCCAAUAAAAUUUGUGCAGUUUAUGGACCCGAUACAGUUUCCAUUUCCACCGCACAACGAUGGUUUCAACGUUUUCGUUCUGGUGUAGAGGUGGUCAAAGAUGUGCCACGCUCCGGAAGGCCUGUCGUCGAAAAUUGCGAUAAAAUCGCUGAAUUGGUCGAAAGAGACCGGCAUAGUAGCAGCCGUAGCAUCGGUCAAGAGCUGGGCAUGAGUCAUCAAAAAUUCAUUUCAAUUUCAAUAAAAAUACCGCAAGACUUUUUUGACAACCCAUUACUUUGUAAGAUAACUCAAAUUUCGUUUUUCCGUGGAUUAUCUAACAACUUCGCUUCCAACUCAAAUGGCUGUCACAUACUAAGGCAAAAGGAAUUGCUAUAAUUGCAAAAUAAUCGUAUUUUCACGUUCAAAGGAAGUCCAUCGGUCGAUUUGGAACAGGCAUACAUCCACAUUUCUUAUCAUCGUCACAGUUGUGUGAUUCACAAAGCACUUGCAAAAGCAAAAGUAGCAAUUUGAAAGUCAAAAGAAACAAAUAUUCCUUUCCAAUUUGAAUGAUGAGUUGCAGUACUCAGCUUCUACUGUAUUAUCCUGAUGCCUUGCAUUAAUCUUCUUAGUUGUUUUUGCAUAUGAUUUAGUAAACAUUCUUCCUAAGCUCAAUAUGGAGGUACGCCUGUAUGAAGUAAGGCGCGAGGUGCGAUAGGUUAUUGGUUAUACUUUAUUUACAUACAUAUGUAUAUCGAGACAGUAUACAAAUAUACAAGUAUUUCAAUAAUAAACUCUUCUUCUGGCUCAAAAAAAUACAUUUACAUAUACGGCGGAACAUAUAUAUGAUGAGACAAUAAGCGGUGUGUUUAAAGUGGGCUGACGACAGUCUUACCCCAUGGCGCUUAAUAAUCGCGUGGAUCAAAAUAAUGCCUUUCUCAGCGCCCCGAGAAUACGGUACCAAUUGCAAGUAUGGAAUGGACACACUAACCACUUUGGAAGGAUUUGAGGUCCAUCUGAAACUUCUUCCGUACUUUGGGUUUGGCACCCAGUUGCAAUUCAACACCACGUUGAACUAACACAAGGUCAGUUCUUCCGCAUUCGGUUAUUAAACCACAACUAUCACGAUACUCUCCGUGCCGUGCUGCAUGAGCAGGUUGAAGCGAGCUCCAAACAGGAAGCAGGAGCCUCCCGUGUUACCAGAAUUAAGUCUCCGGUCAGAUCUCGUAGCCGAAACUACUGCCAGUUGAAAUUUCAUACUUCUCUGGAGUGAUGAUUAGGGGUUGUACCAACAGUUACAUUGCACGAACACACCAUUUCCACAAGAAGAUAGCCCUAAUUCUUAGUUAAGCGCCUUCGCUGUCUAAACUACUCACGCACCAGUCUAAUUCUUCGGAGAUCGGUAAUGACUGAGCACUUUGGACACUCCGUGAUCACAUGCACUCAAAAAAUGCAAUUCAAUGGCGAAAAUUGUAAAGUUUUCGACGUUUGUUAACUCAGCAAUAGUGCAAUGAUGAACUUGAUUCAAUGUUUAGCGAUGGGCAUAGAUCACUCAAAACAUCGAUUUGAUAAGUCAUCUACCGUAUACUCUUGACUUGGCACCGAAUGACUUAUUUUGAACUAAGUGGCCGACGUUUUUCGACUCCUGAAGAGUGGUAUCCCUGCAUCUCCAUAUGAUCAUCGGAAAUCCGGUAAUUCUGCAUCAAUAACACACUUAAUCAGAACAAGAGAAGAUGUA